AAAACCUAAAUCAGGAUGGCCGGACGCGGGAUUGAACCGUCGUCCUCCCGAAUGCGAGUCCUGUGUGCUAACCACUGCGCCACCUCGCUCGGUUCUACUGGGCUGCGAAAGGCGAUUGUGGCGUUCGUGUUCAACGCACCUUUUGAAAUUGUUUGUUGGUACUUGAUUGAAUAAAUUUACAAAUAAAUGAAAUGCUUACCCUUCUGUUCUAUAAUAUUUUAUUUUGUGUUACUGCAGACAUUUUAGAGCGUAAUAUAUUUCCUUCCACUACUGACACUCUCGUUGUUUUCCCGGCAUAUAAGUGACUGUUGAAUUCAGAAUGUGGUCGAUAACGCUACACAGUGUCUUAAUUUUUUCGAAGAGUUUGUUAAUUUAGUUUACAAUUGACAACAGACCCAGUAAGGCAGAGCGAAUAAAUCUAUCUAAAUACGGAACCAGUUGUAUGUAUGUUAAUGUAAUACGGAAUGUACUUACUGUACUGUUUUAAUAUUAGUAAAUAGUAUAGCCAAUUUAUUGGAAAAUGAGGAUUCGCUAUUGGCUGACGUUGCAUCCAUAUACGGUUGGGUUUAACAAUGAGAAUAUCGGUGAUGUACUGGAGAUGAUAAGCAACCAGUAUAAAACGCGACAUAAUGUUUCUCAGUUGUUAAUCGUCUGUUACGGACGUCAACUCUCCUUUGAAUGCUGCAUCAUGAGGUCGUAGCCAGUGGUGGCUAGUGAUCAUGUACUACUGUACUACAGCGCUUUGUAAGUAUCGUACGAAAAUUUUGCCACUUAUCUUCGAAUGCAAGCCAUAAAUUGCAGUAAAAUUACGUCACUUCUCUUCGAUUGUGAACCGGAAAUGGCAGUAAAAUUUCAUCUUUUCUCCUCGAUUGUAAGUCGGAAAUCGCAGUAAAAUUGCAUCAAUUCUUUCCCAACGCGUGUUGGUAUGUAAAUAAAACGGAGUAAAAUGCGUUUUGGAUAUUAAUCCUGAUAUUAACAACGUAGGCUAAUGACAUCAAAAACUGGAAUGUGUCACACAGUGUAAUAUGUGAAAGUAGCAAGUCAUGUAUCAAUGACACAACGAAUGAAACUUACAUAAUAUAUGUAGGUGUACGGGAUGGGGGCAUUGAAUUUAUCCUAUAGUGCAACAAAAUUCAAGACAACUCAGCUUAUAUACGAACCUGUUUAUGACAGAUAAGAAAUCAGAAAGCUAGAAAUCAUGUUUAUAUUAUUGACAAAAUUUCAUAUAAUCAGUUUACCACAAUAAUCAAAUGCGUAUUGGCACAAAAUUAAUUGCUCCUUCCGUAAAAGGAGAUAAAGAUGCUUACUUUUUUUGAGAAUUAACUGUGUUAUUCUUGUUUAAAAGUCCUUCGUUACUUACUGGGUGUAAAUGACGUUUUCCAAGUGGCGUUAUUAAUAAUAAUGAAAAAAAAGGUCACUCCGAAAAGGCAAUAGGAAAGGGAAUUAGAGCAACAUUAGCCUAACUGAUCGCUGCACAAAUGUUAUAAACUUCCGCGAAAAUUUAACUUCUAAUGUCAAAGGUGAAUCGCGGCCACUUUGGGAGAACGUUACGUCCGACCGAUGGUUUCAAGCAAGGAGGUAUAUAAACUACAUACAGUGGCUAUCUGUGAGGUAACAGCGCUCCCAGCGGCAGCAAAAAGCAACACCGGCCGCAAUUUUUUGAAACGUCUACCUGUCAGUAUAUUUAUUAUUUACAUUUGGUGUAUAGUACUGGCGUUAGAAAAUCACUGUUCUCCGGUUGUAAUUUGUUUUAAAAGUCUUACUGACCGAUUGCGAAUCAUGCCCAGUGUAUGUGCAGCGUACAAUUGCGCUAAUAGAAGUGAUAAAACAACUGGAAUAUCAUAUUUCAGAUUUCCUCUGAAAAAGAAAGAGCUGUUAAGUCGGUGGGUAGCCAAUAUGAGGCGAGAUAAGUGGCAGCCAACUCAAUACAGUUACAUAUACUCGUUUCACCUUGAAGAUAGAUACAUGUAUAGUACAAACGAGAAAAGGCGACUUCUGGCAAACGCAGUACCGACAAUAUUUACGUUUGCGGACCAUCUGUAGAAAACAACUAUAGUAUAGAGACAACCAAGGAAAUGGCCUGUCAGCUUCCUUAUCAAAUGAACCAGGUGAAAGAGUGAAUCAGAAUGAUCGUACAGAUCAUUCUUAAUGUUUGUCUAGCCCCAAAAAAUUGAAACAGAAUUAUGAGGCACUACAGAAAAGGACUGAGAAGCCGAGGAAGCAAGCCGAACAUGGAAGGCAAAAUGUUUCAAGAAAGAAGAAUCAAAUUGUGACAUAUGAAACAGUGUUUGUAGGCCUAAAUAAGAGACUUCAAGACUGUGCUUCUGAAGUGAUAGGAUGUGACAAAAAUAGUGUUAUUCUGAAGCACUUUUUGCAAUGCAAAACAAAUGUUCAAUUCCUGAAUAUCCUAAAGAAAUAAGACAGUUUGCCCUUACGCUCAGUUUUUACUCCCUUCAAAGUUUUUAAUUAUUUGAGGAAGUCUGUUAAAUUACCCCAUCCUGCGCUGUCAAUUGGUCAUUUUUUGACCUACUGAACUAUUUUAAUUGUUUUUGACCUAAUCUAUAUGGCAUAGCAGCAAAA